rnacentral:sRNA from 1 species
GUUUGCGGCCGCGGGGGCGGCGAAGGAUAUGGAGUAAAGCUGGAGUCAGUGGCCAGGCACGAAGGCAGAGCAAGAACAGCCAGGCGGCGUUUAUUAGGGGGGCGGGGGGAAGAGCCCCAGCACCGCCUCUCCUGGAAGAAGGAAGAGGUAACUAUAACUACCCAAUAUUGCAGCCAUGGAGUCCAUGCUUAAUAAAUUGAAGAGUACUGUUACAAAAGUAACAGCUGAUGUCACUAGUGCUGUAAUGGGAAAUCCUGUCACUAGAGAAUUUGAUGUUGGUCGACACAUUGCCAGUGGUGGCAAUGGGCUAGCUUGGAAGAUUUUUAAUGGCACAAAAAAGUCAACAAAGCAGGAAGUGGCAGUUUUUGUCUUUGAUAAAAAACUGAUUGACAAGUAUCAAAAAUUUGAAAAGGAUCAAAUCAUUGAUUCUCUAAAACGAGGAGUCCAACAGUUAACUCGGCUUCGACACCCUCGACUUCUUACUGUCCAGCAUCCUUUAGAAGAAUCCAGUACAGUUCAACAAAAGCAUGCCUUAUGGUCCAAUGUGUUAAUGAGC